CGCUAUCACUCCUACGGGAGGCAGCAGUGGGGAAUAUUGCACAAUGGGGGAAACCCUGAUGCAGCCAUGCCGCGUGUGUGAAGAAGGCCUUCGGGUUGUAAAGCACUUUCAGUAGGGAGGAAGGUAGUGUAGUUAACACCUGCAUUAUUUGACGUUACCUACAGAAGAAGCACCGGCUAACUCCGUGCCAGCAGCCGCGGUAAUACGGAGGGUGCGAGCGUUAAUCGGAAUUACUGGGCGUAAAGCGCAUGCAGGCGGCCUGUUAAGUCAGAUGUGAAAGCCCGGGGCUUAACCUCGGAAUUGCAUUUGAAACUGGCAGGCUAGAGUCUUGUAGAGGGGGUAGAAUUUCAGGUGUAGCGGUGAAAUGCGUAGAGAUCUGAAGGAAUACCAGUGGCGAAGGCGGCCCCCUGGACAAAGACUGACGCUCAGAUGCGAAAAGCGUGGGGAGCAAACAGGAUUAGAUACCCUGGUAG
rnacentral:rRNA from 1 species